UACGGGGGGAGCAAGCGUUGUUCGGAUUUACUGGGCGUAAAGGGCGCGUAGGCGGCCUCCGCAAGUCAGUUGUGAAAUCUCCGAGCUUAACUCGGAAAGGUCAACUGAUACUGCGGGGCUAGAGUGCGGAAGGGGCAACUGGAAUUCUUGGUGUAGCGGUGAAAUGCGCAGAUAUCAGGAGGAACACCGGUGGCGAAGGCGGGUCUCUGGGCCGAUACUGACGCUGAGGAGCGAAAGCGUGGGGAGCAAACAGG
rnacentral:rRNA from 1 species